rnacentral:rRNA from 1 species
GGAGGCCUAACCAUGCAAGUCGAACGGCAGCACAGGAGAGCUUGCUCUCUGGGUGGCGAGUGGCGGACGGGUGAGGAAUACAUCGGAAUCUACUCUGUCGUGGGGGAUAACGUAGGGAAACUUACGCUAAUACCGCAUACGACCUACGGGUGAAAGCAGGGGACCUUCGGGCCUUGCGCGAUUGAAUGAGCCGAUGUCGGAUUAGCUAGUUGGCGGGGUAAAGGCCCACCAAGGCGACGAUCCGUAGCUGGUCUGAGAGGAUGAUCAGCCACACUGGAACUGAGACACGGUCCAGACUCCUACGGGAGGCAGCAGUGGGGAAUAUUGGACAAUGGGCGCAAGCCUGAUCCAGCCAUACCGCGUGGGUGAAGAAGGCCUUCGGGUUGUAAAGCCCUUUUGUUGGGAAAGAAAUCCAUCUGGCUAAUACCCGGUUGGGAUGACGGUACCCAAAGAAUAAGCACCGGCUAACUUCGUGCCAGCAGCCGCGGUAAUACGAAGGGUGCAAGCGUUACUCGGAAUUACUGGGCGUAAAGCGUGCGUAGGUGGUCGUUUAAGUCCGUUGUGAAAGCCCUGGGCUCAACCUGGGAACUGCAGUGGAUACUGGGCGACUAGAAUGUGGUAGAGGGUAGCGGAAUUCC